AGAUGGAAAACAGGAAAAUAAUCCCUUCCAUAGGCAAGUUAAGGAGUCCGUUUGGAAGUGUGCUGAGUUAUCAGGACCUGUGUGACCUACAAGUGGAGAUAAGACAUAUGAGUUUGAAGUGGGUGAGGGGCCUGGGCAAGACUGGCAGAUUUUAGGAUGAUUCAUUAGUUCCCAGCGUGCAGCUAUCUGAGAAAAUUAUGGAGGUGCAGGGAUGACAGAGGAAGGAACCCCCCCAGCAUCGGAGAGGGUAGUGUUUCUGUGGUGUUAUUAUAAUGUUAACGUCAGUUCUAAUAAGUGCCCAGACCUGUGAGGUUUCUCUACAUGCGUGUGAGGUGAGGCUUCACAAGCGCAAUACAGAUUGUGGGUUGGACAUUUCUGGGCUGGUCUAGUACCUUGGGACCAACGUUAACGUGGAAUUGUAGAGGCAGGGUCAACAUGAAGCAGCAUUACAAUGAGAGAGAACAGGGUACAAUUCCAGGUAAGAAGCGCUGAUGAAGACCAAGACUCUUAUGAGUUUGCAAGAGAAGUCCUUUCCAUGUGAAUCCCGUCAUGUUGAGGUUUCCACCUUUGCCUCACACACCAAAGAGUCCUGGUUUAAAACUUGGUGGGAACACUCAUGACAUUCUUUUCUGAAUGCUCAACUUUCCAGCAUCCCCACUCUUUACAUUUCAAUCUUUCACCCUUUCCAUCCCAUCUGCCAAUACACAAAUGUUGAUGGAAGGUGCAAUGCAAGGAAUGCUGAAGUGGAUAGAACCCAGCUUCAACACACAAGGUGAUUGAUUAGGAGAGAGCACCCGGGAAAACUUCUGUCAGAGUCUAAGAGCUGCUCAAAAGAACCGUAAGGCGAGGCCAGGAAGGUUCAAAUGAGGAGCAGUCAUUGGUGAUGGGAAGUCAUGGACCAGCUCAUCUCAUAGUAUUAGAAGAAAAACGUCUUGAGUUCUCAGCAUGGGAAGUACUCAACUCGUCUUUGAUUCGCUCACAUGACUCAAAGCCCGGUUCAUGUAACAGCAGUAUAGACAUCACCUGAGAGCUUGUAGAAAUGCAGAAUCCUGGU
ensembl:lncRNA